GGUUAAGCGACUAAGCGUACACGGUGGAUGCCCUGGCAGUCAGAGGCGAUGAAGGACGUGCUAAUCUGCGAUAAGCGUCGGUAAGGUGAUAUGAACCGUUAUAACCGGCGAUUUCCGAAUGGGGAAACCCAGUGUGUUUCGACACACUAUCAUUAACUGAAUCCAUAGGUUAAUGAGGCGAACCGGGGGAACUGAAACAUCUAAGUACCCCGAGGAAAAGAAAUCAACCGAGAUUCCCCCAGUAGCGGCGAGCGAACGGGGAGCAGCCCA
rnacentral:rRNA from 1 species